UGCGGAGUCAUCUAAUGGUAGGAUGUUACCCUCUGAAGGUAAUCAUCUUGGUUCGAAUCCAAGCUCCGCAGCCA
rnacentral:tRNA from 1 species